AUGAACGCUGGCGGCGUGCCUAAUACAUGCAAGUCGAGCGAACAGAUGAGGAGCUUGCUCCUCUGACGUUAGCGGCGGACGGGUGAGUAACACGUGGAUAACCUACCUAUAAGACUGGGAUAACUUCGGGAAACCGGAGCUAAUACCGGAUAAUAUAUUGAACCGCAUGGUUCAAUAGUGAAAGACGGUUUUGCUGUCACUUAUAGAUGGAUCCGCGCCGCAUUAGCUAGUUGGUAAGGUAACGGCUUACCAAGGCGACGAUGCGUAGCCGACCUGAGAGGGUGAUCGGCCACACUGGAACUGAGACACGGUCCAGACUCCUACGGGAGGCAGCAGUAGGGAAUCUUCCGCAAUGGGCGAAAGCCUGACGGAGCAACGCCGCGUGAGUGAUGAAGGUCUUCGGAUCGUAAAACUCUGUUAUUAGGGAAGAACAAAUGUGUAAGUAACUAUGCACGUCUUGACGGUACCUAAUCAGAAAGCCACGGCGAACUACGU
rnacentral:rRNA from 1 species